AGGGCAGUAGCUCAGUGGCAGAGCAUCUGCUUGGCAUGCAGAAGGUCCCAGGUUUAAUUCCUGGCAGCUCUA